CUAAUCCUCCUCCAAGCCCUCGCACACACCUGCGGCGUCCCAUGCGAUUCCCCUCGAGCUCCACCAGGUUGAUUAGCGUGAUAUACAGAGAAGAUAGCACCGGCGGCUUCCCAAAUCAUCAAAUCUCAUAGCCAUCAAAUUUAUGUGGAUGCGCUGGCAGAUUGAUUGACUACGCAGAAGAGAAGAUUGCAUCAACGGCCGGCCAAAUCGUCAACUAAUUGUCGCUGGAUUUACGUGGAUACAGGGGUUGUUGAUUGGUUCAGGUACAUGGUAGAUAAACUGCACCGGCGGCUGCCCAACUCAUUAGCUUAGUGAUGCUACCAGAUUUGAUUGAUGUACAUAGCAUAGCUGUUAGCAUAAGUCCGAACUAAUCCAACCGAGUACUUUCCGGCGAGAUACAGAUACCAGCCGCAGCUGAUUACUUUCCUGCCGCUGGUCAGGAUACUGGCGUACCAUGCUAGCUAGACCAAAAAAAAGCACUUGGAUAGAUUCCUUCCGAAGAUGUACGUGCGUAUAAUGCUGCUAGACCAAGCUAGCGAUCAGCCGGUCGGACAAGAUCGUGUUUAAUUCCAACGAUAGUUGAUCUCUUUUGAUGCAUGUGUGUAGGUCCUUCCUCUACAGUUCGUGAAAUAGAUGUUGCUGCGACGCAUCCAUCCGAUAUUCAUGUCCCCGGUCUCUUAUCAAGGAUCGGAGUUGCUGGCAUGCCAGCUUUAGAAGUAGUAAAACGGAUGGAUAUUUUACCACCAAUUACUACAGGAGGGAGGUAUUGACUACAAGAACUGAGGCAUGCAAAAAUCAAGUGAUCAUUUCAUCAAGCUAGAAUACAACGAAACAUGCAAAUCAAUAGUUUGUGUCCAUAAGAGAUGAUACCCAGGAGAGGUGGUGCCAAUGAUGCAUGGAGUCAAUUCAGUAGUCGAGGAGAGGCAACAAAGAUUGGGAGCUAACCUUGGACACAGAAGUAGUAACUUGAGGAAAAUAUAAGUAAGACAAGGGAACACACCCCUCUGUUUGCAAGUACAUGACGUUGUAUACACUGAAACAUACACCAGCGUGCAUAAUUGACCAUACG